CUCACUAUGUGUAUAACACACACGUGUCGACACAUUCGCCGGGGUGCCUGUAAUGGUUUUUCCAUUCUGGUCGGUGUAAUGGGACACGUGGAGGCAUAAC
rnacentral:sRNA from 1 species